rnacentral:rRNA from 2 species
UACGUAGGGGGCAAGCGUUGUCCGGAAUCAUUGGGCGUAAAGCGCGUGUAGGCGGCUCGGGUAGUCUGGUGUGAAAUCUUUCGGCUCAACCGGAAGCGGUCACUGGAUACUCUCGGGCUUGAGUCCGGAAGAGGAGAGUGGAAUUCCUGGUGUAGCGGUGGAAUGCGCAGAUAUCAGGAGGAACACCAAUGGCGAAGGCAGCUCUCUGGUACGUGACUGACGCUGAGACGCGAAAGCGUGGGGAGCGAACAGG